rnacentral:ncRNA from 2 species
CCAAUAGCGUAUAUUAAAGUUGUUGCAGUUAAAAAGCUCGUAGUUGAAUUUCGGGAUUCUACCGUUGGUCGGGCUAACAAGUCUGUACUGGUGUGUAGAAUUUCUACCUUCUGGGGAACUAUCAUGUUAUUAAUUUAGCGUGGUGGGAAACCAGGACCUUUACCUUGAAAAAAUUAGAGUGUUCAAAGCAGGCUUACGUCUGAAUACAUUAGCAUGGAAUAAUAGAAUAGGACGGUGGUCCUGUUUUGUUGGUUUCUGAAUCACCGUAAUGAUUAAUAGGGAUAGUUGGGGGCAUUAGUAUUCAAUUGUCAGAGGUGAAAUUCUUGGAUUUAUUGAAGACUAACUUCUGCGAAAGCAUUUGCCAAGGAUGUUUUCAUUAAUCAAGAACGAAAGUUAGGGGAUCGAAGACGAUCAGAUACCGUCGUAGUCUUAACCAUAAACUAUGCCGACUAGGGAUCGGACGAUGUUAAAUUUUAUUGACUCGUUCGGCGCCUUACG